UACGUAGGGUGCAAGCGUUAAUCGGAAUUACUGGGCGUAAAGCGUGCGCAGGCGGUUUUGUAAGUCUGUCGUGAAAGCCCCGGGCUCAACCUGGGAAUUGCGAUGGAGACUGCAAGGCUUGAAUCUGGCAGAGGGGGGUAGAAUUCCACGUGUAGCAGGUGAAAUGCGUAGAGAUGUGGAGGAACACCGAUGGCGAAGGCAGCCCCCCUGGGUCAAGAUUGACGCUCAUGCACGAAAGCGUGGGGAGCAAACAGG
rnacentral:rRNA from 1 species